AAUUAUGUGAAUUAAUGCAGAUAGUGGAUGCCUAGGCUUAUCUGGCCGAAGAAGGACGCUAACCCCGCGAAAGUGGUUGGGUAACUGGGAAAAAGUUAUGAUCCAGCCGUGUCCGAAUUGAGAAAUCACGUUACGAGAAAUCGUAAUGGCCCUAAAUUUUUAAUUUAGGUGGGUAACCUCCCGAACUGAAAUAUCUAAGUAGGGAGAGGAAAAGAAAACGUAAGAGAUUCCCCGAGUAAGCGACGAGCGAAAAGGGAGAAGUCCAAACCCGGAAUUUAUUCCGGGGGUUGUAGGACCUCAACAUUUGACUUUAGAAGAUAGAAGAACGCUUUGGAAUGAGCGAUCAAAGAGGGUGAUAAUCCCGUAAGCAAAAUCUAAUAAAGCGAUAGAGGAUUCCUGAGUAGGUUGGGAGACGGCAAACUCCCUUCUGAAUCUGGGGUGACCACACUCCAAGACUAAAUACCAGAUAAGACCGAUAGUGAACGAGUACCGUGAGGGAAAGGUGAAAAGAAGGGUUGAAGACCCCGUGAAAUAGAACCUGAAACCAUCUGCUAACAAUCAGACAAAGCACAUUUAUUGUGUAAUGUCGUGCCUAUUGAAGAAUGAGCCGGCGAGUAUUUGACAACUGCUUUAGGUUAAGACAUUUCGUGUCGAAGCCGUAGUGAAAGCGAGCGUGAAUAGCGCGAUUAUGUAGUUGUUGAAUGACCCGAAACCGGGUGAGCUUACCAUGACCAGGAUGAAGCCCUGAUAAUAUCGGGGUGGAGGUCCGCACCGGUGUAUGCUGCAAGAUGCUCGGAUGAGUUGUGGUAAGAGGUAAUAUGCCAAUCGAACCCGGAGAUAGCUGGUUCUCCCUGAAAUAUAUUUAGGUAUAGGGUUACGUGAAGUUGCGAGGGGGUAGAGCACUGAUCUGGUGUCUUGAGCGAAAGCUUAAGUGCCUAGUCAAACUCCGAAUACCUCGUUAAUGUUUCGUAGCACUCAGCACCUGGGAGCUAAGUUCCAGGAGCAAAAGGAAAACAAACCAGACCUACAGCUAAGGUCUCAAAUUACAUAUUUAGUGGGAAAAGAAGUGUUAUUCCUAACACACCUAGGAGGUCGGCUCAGAAGCAGCCACCCUUUAAAGAAAGCGUAACAGCUCACUAGCCGAGGAAUAAUGCGCUGAAAAUCCAACGAGGCUAAAAUAUGUAACCGAAGCUUAGGGUUCUGUUAAUAAUUUAUUAUUAAUGGAGCGGUAAGGGAGCGUUCUGUGUGCUUUGAAGCCAGCCCGUAAGGAGCUGGUGGAGCGAUCAGAAGUGAGAAUGCCGGCAUGAGUAGCGAAAUUGGGGUGAGAAUCCCCGACUCCGAAUGACCAAGGUUUCCGCACCCACGUUCGUCGUGUGCGGGUUAGGCGACCCUAAGGUGAGCCCUCGUUAAUGAGGGGUAGCCGAUGGAUUACUGGCUAAUAUUCCAGUCCUUGGUUAGGAUCAUUUGACUUGGGGAGGGACGGUGAUGGAUAACAUAUGAACAGCGGUGAAUGUUGUUUCAAAGCACUAAAGCAGUCUAAAUUGGAAAAUCCGUUUAGGCGUUUAUCUGAGGUGUUAUAGGGCUCUGAUUCCUUCGGGAAGACGAGUUAUGUGUGAUUUCAUUAUCCUGGAAAAGCUUCGCAAGGAGAUUCUAAUCAAAUCGUACCGAUAACCGACACAGGUGGUCAGGUCGAGUAGACCAAGGAGAGCGAGAGAAAAUAGUUUAAGGAACUCGGCAAAACAGCUGGGCGUAAUUUCGAGAGAUGCCCUCCUCUUUAAUAGCAAUAUUAAAGAGGCGCAGUGAAUGUCAUGAGGUUGACUGUUUACCAAAAACACAGGUCUGUGCAAACUCGUAAGAGGAAGUAUACGGGCUGAAGCCUGCCCAGUGCCGGAAGGUUAAUUGAGGGGGUUUUGUCUAAUUUAUUAGAUAAGGCCUCUAAUCGAAGCCCCGGUGAACGGCAGCAGUAACUAUAACUGUUCUAUGGUAGCGAAGUUCCUUGUCGCUUAAUUGGCGACCCGCACGAAAGGUUUAACAAGCCUCAUACUGUCUUGAACUAUUACUCGGCGAAAUUGAAAUGGCUGUGAAGAUGCGGCCUACUGACAGCAGGACAAAAAGACCCCGUAGAGCUUUACUACAACUUGGCACUGACGGUGAAUAUAGGAUUGUUUAGAAUAGGCGGGAGGAAGCUUCAUUUAUGAAGUUUCCAACCAGUGAAAUACCGCCCGUUUUGUAUUUAUCAUCUAACUUAAUCACACUGCAAACGUGUGAAAGAACACUGUCUGGUGGGUAGUUUAACUGGGGAGGUUGCUUGCUAAAGAGUAACGCAAGCGCGCAAUGGUAUUCUUAGCCUGGAUAGAAAUCAGGCUGGACGUGCAAUAGCAUAAGAAUGCUUUACUGUGAGGCAUACAGGCCGAGCAGUUGCGAAAGCAGGUUAUAGUGAUCCUCGUGUGUUUUGUGGAAGACACCGGGCUUAUCGGAUAAAAGUUACCUCGGGGAUAACAGAGUCAUCGCGCCUAAGCGUCCCUAGCGUCGGCGCGGUUUGCUACCUCGAUGUCGGCUCAUCGCAUCCUGGGGCUGAAGAAGGUCCCAAGGGUUAGUCUGUUCGCCUAUUAAAGCGGUACGCGAGCUGGGUUCAGACCGUCGUGAGACAGGUCGGCCUCUAUCCGCUGUCAGCGUUAGAUAGUUGAGAGAAUUUGCUCCUAGUACGAGAGGACCGGAGUGAGAGAAUCCCUAGUGUUCCAGUUGUCACUGUCAAGUGCAUUGCUGGGUAGCUACAUUCUUUGUGGAUAACCGCUGAAAGCAUCUAAGCGGGAAGCCAAUCUCAAGAUUAACUAUCUCCAUUAGACCCGUGGGAGAAUACCACGUUGAUAGGUAGUCGGUGUAAGCCUGGUGACAGGCUAAGCCUAACUAUACUAAGUGUUGAUCGAACAUAAUUUU
rnacentral:rRNA from 1 species